CUACAGAGGAUUACGCUCAAAACCUGUGAAGGAGUUGGGAUCGGUUCAGAUCGGAAAUGGGAGUUCCGGCGUUCGUCAAAGAGGAGAGAGGGCUGGCCGGAGAAGAAGGGCCACGUGUCAAGCGUCUAUUGGAAAAGAAAAUCAAAGAAAUACUUCGCGUCGGGCAGGAUUCGAAGGUCGGCGGCUCGCUACCCGAUUACCCGCGCACCACCCGGCUUCGCGUUGUCACGCGUCAGCGUAAAAGAAUAAAGAUUUCCAGCGCGUCCUUCCGGUUUCGAACCGACGACCUCGACCUCGGCUGACCGUUCACCGGGCGCCACGUCGCAACACCUCAGCGCGCGUCUUCCUUCCCUCAUGCGCGUCCGUACGCGCACGUGUAAUGCUUCCCCAGGCGCGUGUGAAAUAGGUCCUAAUUGAGGAAAAAUCACGGCUGUUUUUUUGGCUAGUUCGACUUCUGUUUUUCCUGCUCCUGAUUCCAAUCCUAAACCGAUUUUGUAUGAAAUAGGACCUAAUUGAGGAAAAAUCACCGCUUUUCGAUAUGCCAAGUGUGUGGAAACGCUGCGUAAGGGCAGACAUCGUCCAGGUAAGUCACCACACGGAAUUCUACGAAGUAAUACUUGUAGGAGUCGCUUGGAAUGCAUGCAUGCUAGUUUAAUUAUCUUAGGGCGUAGUUUCCUGUGACAGUAUGUAGGUAAUUGAUUAUUAAAGUAGGAUGCAUUAUGUGAAUGACUAUGAGAAUUACCUGAGUAUUGUUGUUAAGUUUUAAGUUUCUGCUAUUUAUGCAUAUGGAUAUUCUAUGCUGAAAGGAGGAUGGGAAUUUGUGAAAUCUGCGCUCCGGGAGUU